AAGCCGGUCAAUCGCGUCGCGCUCGAGAGCGUGAAGAUCGUGCCGGCUGAUUCGGUGAAAUGAUUUAACCGCAGAGAUCGCAGAGGACGCAGAGAAGGAACUCCUUCUUUGAUCCUCUGCGCACUCUGCGUGCUCUGCGGUCAACCCAAAUGGCUUCCUCGGACACGUCGAACGUCGCACUGGUGCAGAUGCAGUGCAGCGCCGAUCCGGCUGAAAAUCUGGAGCGGGCGAUCGCAUUCAUCCGUGAUGCCGGCAAGCAGGGCGCCGACAUCGUCUGCCUGCCGGAGCUGUUUCGCUCGCAAUA
rnacentral:misc_RNA from 1 species